rnacentral:rRNA from 1 species
AUGCCUCCUCCCGCCGCCCCGACGCCUCCUCCCGCCGAGCCGCUGCCAAAUUCGCCAGAUUCUACCUCCCCCACGGAGGAGGCUGAGGCGGAUGCGGGAGGCACGCCGUCGAGGGCCGGGCCGGUGGGGACAGUAAGCUGGGGAACUGGGACCCUCGUCGGCGUAUUCACCGGGCUUCUCUACGGCGGGGCCAAGGAGGCCAACGCCAACGUCAGCAAAGAUGCUGAAGUGAUGUUGAAGAUGGGAAGCACCACAGACAAGCGCGAACAAUAUAGGUUGAUGAGAGAUGCCAUGGAGAAAAGGUUCAUUCGGGUUGCCAAAGGCUCACUAGUUGGUGGUGCUCGCCUUGGGAUGUUCACUGCAACUUUCUUUGGCAUACAGAACCUUCUUAUUGAGAACCGUGGGGUGCAUGAUGUAUUCAAUAUUGUUGGAGCUGGCUCGGCUACCGCAGCUGCUUUUGGGCUUAUAUUGCCUGGUUCACCAAUGUGGCGUGCAAGGAAUGUAUUGGUUGGAUCUGCUCUCGGUGCCGGAAUUUGCUUUCCACUUGGUUGGGUACAGUUGAAGCUGGCAGAGAAGGCCAAUCUUGAGAUUGAAAAUUCAAAAUCGCCAUCGGAUUUACAAGGCAAUCAAAGUCGUGUGGGGGCUGCUAUAGACAGACUAGAGAACAGCCUGAGGAAGUAA